rnacentral:rRNA from 1 species
AACCCCGCGCCCAGGAACCCCGGUUGGAAAUGGGGAAGGGGCGGGUUUUACAAGGACAGUGGUCAUGGAAGUCGAAAUCCGCUAAGGAGUGUGUAACAACUCACCUGCCAAAUCAACUAGCCCCGAAAAUGGAUGGCUCUGAAGCGUGCGCCUUAUACCCGGCUGUCGGGGCAAGAGCCAGGCCUCGAUG